rnacentral:misc_RNA from 1 species
AAAGUCGUAACAAGGUAACCGUAGGUGAACCUGCGGUUGGAUCAUUAAAAAAAUGUAAAAGGAACCGCACCUUAUGCGGAUGCUGGGUGCCCGGUUGUCCGUUCUCCCCCCGGGGAUGAACACCGUACCGUGGCUAACCUCUUGCUGACCUCUUGUGAACCGUAACGUCUUUGGUGGUGGGGCAGAUCUGCUUUCGGUGAAAGUGUUUCUGUCUGUCAUCCUGCAUGGAAAAAUCGAUGCAGGACGUGGACAAGCCACCGUUUGAUUCCAAAACCUGUCUUUUCGUUUUGAAACUGUCUGACAUACUCUUUUGUAUUGAAUGAUACAAACAACUUUUGGCAACGGAUCUCUUGGCUCUC